UCUUUAAACAUUAACAACCUAUAUAUGUACGAGUUUUUGGCAUUGUAUGUAAAUAUUGUAAAUGUACUUGUUCAACAGUAGUCCCACCUUUUUGAGAUUCUAGAAAUGUCCUUAAUUAACAUUCUUAGUUCAUACAUGUGCCUGCAUCUUUUUCAUGAAAAUGAUGUUUAUUGGAGGGGGGUCCUCCAAAAAAAGACAAGCAUUGUUUUUACAAAACAUCGGCAGUUGUGCAUACCUACCAUUCCUAGUUGGCAGUUAAUUUAGUGUAAUGCAAGUAGAAGUACUUGUAAAUUAUGAGAUUCCUUCAUUGAAUACAAGUCCUACUCUGAAUUUGGUACAAGGUUACAUUUUUUCUCCCCUGAACUUGUUUCUUCUUUGUCCAUCAUGUCUUUUUCUCUCAUGAGUAUGUUUCUUUUUCUGUUGAAGAAAAAUUCACUGAUCAUGAAUAUAUUUGUACAUAGUAAUUGAUGCUUAUAUGUAUUUGAGAAUGGAGUUGUGUGUGAGAGGUUACAACUUUUGGCAGUAUGUGUGAACCGUAUUGUUAAUGUACAUAUAUGUAUGCUUAUAUCUGCUGUGGAAGGGUGGGAUGCAAUAGUGAGGCUUCAUAUCCUGUAAAGAAUGAGUCAUUUUAUAUUUUAUCUGAAUGGAAGUCUAUGGAGAGUCGUUUGUUGUAAUGAUCAAUGUACAAAUUCUUUUAUUUUACUUGUAUUUAUGAUGUGUGUUUGACGGGAAUACUAGAGAUAGUUUAUAAUGUUCAUAACACACUUAAUGCUUUAUAGAGGAACAGACAUUCUUUGUCAUUUUCAUCGUUAUAAAUAAUAAUCCACCAAUAAAUUUCAGAUCAUUUACAUAUAUGAUUUUCUUUAGUAUGGUAUUUUUAAAAAAAUGAAAGAAUCAUUAUACAACUGUGCUGUUUGUUGUAAAAUUUAUUUAAAUAUAAAAGUACAACAUUCC
rnacentral:misc_RNA from 1 species